UGUAGGCGUAUACCAAAGUUGUUGCAGUUAAAACGCUCGUAGUCGGAAUUUGGCAGUUCCGGAUGUGUGCACGUCGUGUGCGCACUUCGCGGGGAUUGCUUUUGUGGUCUUGCGUAGGAUGAGGCACUUUUAUUAGUGAACGUCCUCACGCAACCACUUUUUACUGUGAGAAAAUCAGAGUGCUCAAAGCAGGCAUUUGCCGUGAAUGUAUUAGCAUGGAAUAAUAGAAUAGGACUUGGUUCUAUUUUGUUGGUUUGUUGGGACUGAGUAAUGAUUAAGAGGGACAGUUGGGGGCAUUUGUAUUUCGGUGCUAGAGGUGAAAUUCUUAGAUUACCGAAAGACAAACUGCUGCGAAAGCGUCUGCCAAGGAUGUUUUCAUUGA
rnacentral:rRNA from 1 species